rnacentral:sgRNA from 2 species
AUGCAGAACUAGAGUACAGC